rnacentral:sRNA from 1 species
GUGGCCUGGCGAGGCCGGCGCGCGCCCCGGGGCCGAGGAAUCCGCCUGCCCGCCCAGGCGUCGGCCACGAGAGAGCGGGAGCUUCGCUGGUCCCCAUUUCAGCAUCCCGCAGACCACGUGGCUGUUGUGGGCGCUCCAGCCUUUGUCGCACACUUGCGACCAGCCGUCAGGAAGCCUGACUUCCACCAGCCCCUCCGUCACGGGCAGGGGUCGUCUGCCCCACCCAACGGCGGGUCGAAUUCGCACCUCCUCCACUUGCAGAGUCAGCGCUUUGGGACCAAGGUAGUCUGGCGCACGGAUGCCGAACCUUAUCCGGGCUAGUAAUGGAGGUGGAGGAAGACCUGGGCCGUGCUCUACCCGGCCAGUCCCCACGGCGUAGCGCGGCUCGAGUUCUUUGACCAUAAGGGGUCGAGCUCUGGGGGUGGCCGAGGGAGCUCGCGCCGCCUGGACUGCAAAGUGAUCCGUCUGGCUGAGUGUGUGAGUGUGGCCCCCGUCAUCGUGGAGACCCCCCCUGAGCCCGGCGCCACUGCCUUCCGCCUGGACACUGCUCAGCGCUCGCAC